UGAGGGCAGAUAAUAUGUAAAGUAGGGAUGUGAGUGAAAAUAAAAUGUAAGUGAGGGAUUCCAAGCUUAUGCUCAGAAAUAUAGGAGACAGGAAAUCCCUAACCAUUUGCAAUUGGAUAUAGAAGAAAAGUAAUUUUCUCCCUUCCCCCAACUCCCCGAAGACCAUCAUUGGCACAUGCUAUUGAGUACUGUUCAUUGGCUGCAGGGAUACAGUGAGUGAGCCAGCCUGGCACCAGCAAACAACAACAAUUACUCAAAGCAGACCAACAGAAAACCUGUAACUGCAUAUUGUUUCAAAAAUGAGCUGAUCAUAAAUGGGCACAUGCCACAUGCCUGUAAUGCAAGCUACUGGGAAAGCUGAGGCAGGAGGAUCACUUGAGCCCAGAAGCUCUAGACCAGCAUGGACAACAUAGCAAGACUCCGUCUCAAGAAAAAGAAAAGGAAAACAAAUUUGAUGACGUUCUGAACAGAAGCAUGGCAGUGGAGGUGGAACAAAGGUGAAACCACAGUGAAACCAAGCUGAGAUAAGCAAAAUAAUGGCCUCAGAAGAUGUCUGCACGCGAAUCUCUCAGUAACUGUGAAUAUAUGAUGUUAGUUGGCAGAUGAAUCAAAGUUAGAGACCUUAAAAUUAAAUAUAUAUAUAUAUAUAUAUAUCUCCUGAAUUUUCCGUCUGGAUUUGAUCUAAUCACAUGAGCUUUAAAAGUAGAGAAUUACCUCCAUUGAAUCAAGCAGAAGGGAAAGCCAGAGAGAUUCAGAGUGAAGAAAUCGAUGCCCCGUUGCUGGUGCAAAGAUGAGAGGGGCAAAGAGCAGAAUGCAAGUGGUCUUUGGUAACCAAGAGAGGCUCACAACUGAAAGUCCGCAAAGAAACAUAUACCUCACCUCUAUAACCAUAAGGAACUGUAUUCUGCCCACUCACCUGAAUGAGAAAGCUGACUCUUCUCCAGAGCCUCCAGAAAGGAAUGCAAUCUUGAUUUCCUCCUUGUGGAGCUCUAAGUAGAGAAACAGCUGAGUCCCACUGUGCCUGAACUUCUGCCUCACAGAAAAUUUGAAAUGAUAAAUUGGCAUCUGAAUGUUCAAGUUUUUGGUAAUUUGUUACAGUAGCAAUAGAAGUCACAGUUCCCACUCCUUCUUUUGUCUUACAUUGUGGCAUCUCAGACUUCAGUUGUAUAUUAAUGGAAUUAAUUAAUUUCUGCUGGUCCCAAAGGGAAGUGGGAAAAGGGAGAGCUCUGGCCCUGUGGCUGGCUGCAAGUCUCAGACAAUAGAUAUUGAAACUCAAGGUUUUUCUCUCUAUGUUAAU